AAAACAUGUCUUUAAAACCUGAAAACUUUCGGAAUAACACUAUUUUCUUUUGCAAAAAAAAAAAAUCGGUGGGGCUAAAGGUAUGGGGAGGUAGGAUUGUACUAAAGAUAUACUAUAUUUGGUGACUCGUCAGACUCAUGCAUUAUACUAAAAAGCAAAAUAAACAACUAAAAGGAAAUAAAAAUAAAUAAACUAUCUAAAAACAAC
rnacentral:lncRNA from 1 species